ACACGACUACAUUAGAUACCCGGCGUAGUCCUAGCCGUAAACGAUACUCGCUAGGUGUCGGCCACGGUGCGACCGUUGUCGGUGCCGUAGGGAAGCCGUGAAGCGAGCCACCUGGGAAGUACGGCCGCAAGGCUGAAACUUAAAGGAAUUGGCGGGGGAGCACCACAACGGGUGGAGCUUGCGGUUUAAUUGGAUUCAACGCCGGAAAUCUUACCGGGACCGACAGCAACAUGAAGGCCAGGCUGAAGACUUUGCCGGAUUAGCUG
rnacentral:rRNA from 1 species